rnacentral:rRNA from 1 species
UACGUAGGGUGCAAGCGUUGUCCGGAAUUAUUGGGCGUAAAGAGCUCGUAGGCGGUCUGUCGCGUCGAUCGUGAAAACUUGGGGCUUAACCCUGAGCUUGCGGUCGAUACGGGCAUGACUGGAGUUCGGCAGGGGAGACUGGAAUUCCUGGUGUAGCGGUGAAAUGCGCAGAUAUCAGGAGGAACACCGGUGGCGAAGGCGGGUCUCUGGGCCGAUACUGACGCUGAGGAGCGAAAGCGUGGGGAGCGAAACAGG